rnacentral:lncRNA from 1 species
CAACCAUUAUUAUUAAAUUGUCUAUUUUUCUCCCCAGUUCUGUCUGUUUUUGCUGCAUGUAUUUUGAGGCUCUGUUGUUAGAUGCAUAGUCAUGGGUUUUUGCAUUUCUAUUGCUUAUUACACAUUUUCACUUAAAUGUAAGUUAACUGUUUGAUUCCAUUUAUACAUAUUUCAAAACAGGUAAUGCCUACAACCAAAUCUGAUGCCCGUCAUCUUUUCCCCGUGUUCCUUGCCCAAGUUAAUGGGUUUAUUAUCCAUUUAGUUUUAUUCAACAGAUGUUCAUUGAGUGUCUGGUAUGUGUGGCCACUGGGUCUAGUAAAAGACAUAGACAUCAGACAAGCAAACACAAUAAUAUAAAAGUACAGAAAAAGCAAAGAAAAAUGGUACUGUGAGAGAGAAAAGUAUGACGGGGAGUUGAGACUGGGUUUAGACCUCUUUGAAGAAAUGACAUUUAAACUGAGAACUGAAGGAUGAAAGGGAGCCAGGAAGGCUUGUAGUUGAAGGGGAGGUUCCUAGCAGAGAGAACAGACUGGGAAAAGAAACUGAGGGAAGAAAGGGCUUAGCAAAUUAGAACUUCAGUUCUCUAUAACUACAGCAAAGAAAAAAUGGGGUGAGUGUGGUGGGAAGUGAAGGUAGAGAAAUAACCAGG